rnacentral:tRNA from 1 species
CGCGGGAUGGAGCAGUCUGGUAGCUCGUCGGGCUCAUAACCCGAAGGUCGUAGGCUCCCGCAACCA